rnacentral:rRNA from 1 species
CAUGCAGUCGCACGGGGGCUUCGGCUCGAGUGGCGGACGGGUGAGUAACGCGUAGGAACGUGUCUUGGGGUGGGGGAUAACGCUGGGAAACUGGCGCUAAUACCGCAUAUGGGCUGAGGCCCAAAGCCUUUGGGUGCCUUGAGAGCGGCCUGCGUCCGAUUAGCUAGUUGGUGGGGUAAAGGCUUACCAAGGCGACUAUCGGUAGCUGGUCUGAGAGGACGAUCACCCACACUGGGACUGAGACACGGCCCACACUCCUACGGGAGGCAGCAGUGGGGAAUAUUGGACAAUGGGCGCAAGCCUGAUCCAGCAAUUCCGCGUGGGUGAAGAAGGUCUUCGGAUUGUAAAGCCCUUUCGACAGGGACGAUUAUCACGGUCCCUGUAGAAGAAGCCCCGGCUAAUUUCGUGCCAGC